rnacentral:rRNA from 1 species
AGCGAACGCUGGCGGCAGGCCUAGCACAUGCAAGUCGAACGAACUCUUCGGAGUUAGUGGCGGACGGGUGAGUAACACGUGGGAACGUGCCUUUUGGCUCGGAAUAACUCAGGGAAACUUGUGCUAAUACCGAAUGUGCCCUUCGGGGGAAAGAUUUAUCGCCAUUAGAGCGGCCCGCGUCUGAUUAGCUAGUUGGUGAGGUAACGGCUCACCAAGGCGACGAUCAGUAGCUGGUCUGAGAGGAUGACCAGCCACACUGGGACUGAGACACGGCCCAGACUCCUACGGGAGGCAGCAGUGGGGAAUCUUGCGCAAUGGGCGAAAGCCUGACGCAGCCAUGCCGCGUGAAUGAUGAAGGUCUUAGGAUUGUAAAAUUCUUUCACCGGGGACGAUAAUGACGGUACCCGGAGAAGAAGCCCCGGCUAACUUCGUG